rnacentral:rRNA from 1 species
UGUUGAGUAUGAGAUAGUGACUAAAAAUAUAAAGACUCAUCCUUUUGGAUGAGUUAUUUCAAUGAGUUGAAUACAAAUGAUUCUUCGAGUAGCAAGGAGAGGGCAAGUCUGGUGCCAGCAGCCGCGGUAAUUCCAGCUCUCCUAGUGUAUCUCGUUAUUGCUGCGGUUAAAAAGCUCGUAGUUGGAUCUAGGUUACGUGCUGCAGUUCGCAAUUUGCGUCAACUGUAGUCGUGACUUCUAAUUUGCUGGUUUGAGGUUGGGUUCGCCCUUCAACUGCCAGCAGGUUUACCUUGAAUAAAUCAGAGUGCUCAAAACAAGUGUUUGCUUGAAUAGCUCAUCAUGGAAUAAUGAAACAGGACUUCGGUUCUUUUUGUUGGUUCUAGAACUGAUUUAAUGGUUAAGAGGGACAAACCGGGGGCAUUCGUAUCAUUACGCGAGAGGUGAAAUUCGUGGACCGUAGUGAGACGCCCAACAGCGAAAGCAUUUGCCAAGAAUGUCUUCAUUAAUCAAGAACGAAAGUCAGAGGUUCGAAGGCGAUUAGAUACCGCCCUAGUUCUGACCGUAAACGAUGCCAUCUCGCGAUUCGGAGGGUUUUUGCCCUGCCGAGGAGCUAUCCGGAAACGAAAGUCUUUCGGUUCCGGGGGUAGUAUGGUUGCAAAGCUGAAACUUAAAGAAAUUGACGGAAGGGCACCACAAGGCGUGGAGCUUGCGGCUUAAUUUGACUCAACACGGGAAAACUCACCCGGUCCGGACACCAUUAGGACUGACAGAUUGAAAGCUCUUUCUCGAUUUGGUGGUUGGUGGUGCAUGGCCGUUCUUAGUUGGUGGAGUGAUUUGUCUGGUUUAUUCCGAUAACGAGCGAGACUCUAGCCUGCUAAAUAGUUGGCG